rnacentral:tRNA from 1 species
GCAGAGCGGUUGAACGCAUCAGUCUUGAAAACUGACAAGGGUGCAAGCCCUUCCUGGGUUCGAAUCCCAGUCUCUCCGCCA